rnacentral:rRNA from 1 species
UGGGGAAUAUUGGACAAUGGGCGAAAGCCUGAUCCAGCCAUGCCGCGUGUGUGAAGAAGGUCUUCGGAUUGUAAAGCACUUUAAGUUGGGAGGAAGGGCAGUAAGCGAAUACCUUGCUGUUUUGACGUUACCGACAGAAUAAGCACCGGCUAACUCUGUGCCAGCAGCCGCGGUAAUACAGAGGGUGCAAGCGUUAAUCGGAAUUACUGGGCGUAAAGCGCGCGUAGGUGGUUCGUUAAGUUGAAUGUGAAAGCCCCUGGCUCAACCUGGGAAAUGGAUCCAAAACUGGCGAGCUAGAGUAGGGCAGAGGGUGGUGGAAUUUCCUGUGUAGCGGUGAAAUGCGGAGAUAUAGGAAGGAACACCAGUGGCGAAGGCGACCACCUGGGCUCAUACUGACACUGAGGUGCGAAAGCGUGGGGAGCAAACAGG